rnacentral:lncRNA from 1 species
CUUAACUGUAUAUGUUGAAAAGGUUCAAGUUUGGGGUUGCAUGGGGGAAGUUGAAAAGCAGUUGAAAAGCAUUGAGCUCAAAUGUUGAAAAAGAAAAGUGCAAGAGAAAAAGAAAAGAAAAGAAGAAAAACAUGAAGAUGAUCUCAAUGCAAAAGAAAAGGGAAGAAGUUGGGAAAUAAGUGAGAUUGGUGAGGAAAAGAGUUGUGCUUAAAUGUUGAAUACUAUGGUAGCUCUCUUAACUCAAGGAUUUUGAUUUCCAGAAGAACUAAUUUUUCUUGUUAACCCAACCUCAUUACAAGCCUUGGAAAAGUCCUUUUGAUGGCAUUUGCAUGUGAGGAUUUUGAUUGUUUGAGAUGAUUGACAAUUUUGUUUCAUGUGACUUGUCAAUGAUAUAGAGUUGGAGUGUCACCACCUUAAACACUUCAGUGAUUGAGUGAAACACUUGCUUGGUGAGAAUUGCUAAAUUUCAUGAGUGCAUCUUUGCUUAGUGGAUUGGUCAUUUAUAAUGUGUAAC